GGUUUAGGGUUUAUGGUUUAUGGUAGGGACGUGCCAAGGGCCCCUGAUAGCACUGAUGCUUUCCACACAGAAUUCAACCCAAAUAAUAAAAACAUGAAUCGAAAACCGUGAUUUUUGUAUUUAUUAUAAUGAGCCGAAACUAAACCCUGUCCACACGCCCAGUAUUUUCCUUUCGACACACCCAGUUGACCAUAGUCCAGUCUCCAUAUUGAGCUGCAGCUAACUACCUCUCUAUGUGAACGUGAGUAAAUUACCUUGAAAACAACGGCCGGACAUCUAGGAAGCAGUCUCCGGUUUGUAUUAUACCUCGGUGGUGGAAACGGAACAAAUAUCGACCGGAUCUUAUUCGGACGACAACAACAUGUAAUUAAAGAUGUUUUGAAGCCGGUGUACAAAACCGAAAGUAAACGACGCAAAGAAGCAUAGAAAUAGCAGAUCUACCGCUUCUCAGACUUGCUUUCAAUGAGAAGACCUCGAUCUAUAAAGGAUAUUAUUAUUAUUUUAUUCUUUAUGAAAGGUGUAACCAAGUCUUCUGAGAACACAGAGAAACAUGGCUACAGUCUUCAUCUGUUCCGUCUGUACCGAGAUUUUCACCGGACAUAUAUCGCUGAGCUGCCAACACAUCUUCUGUAGUCGAUGCCUCCAGAAGAGUGUGGACGCUGGUCGCGUCAUCUGUCCAGUGUGCGGAGAUCUAAUCACGUCGGAGAACUUCAGAGUCAACAGAAUACUAAGGGACAUGGCAGAUGAAGUGAGACGGAGAAGAGUUGAUCUCAGAGUGUUGAAGGGGAAUGAGGACGUUGAUGUGAAUAUCUGGGAAAGCUACAAGAAGAAGAAGAAGAAGAAGAAGAAAAAUGUUAAAAUAUCAAAGUCCUAUAUGAAGGAAGGCCUGGCUGUCAGAAAGACAGAGGGGAAGCUGAAGUCUUCUCUGACCACUGGUCCCUGGGAAGGUAUACUUUUUGGUAUUAUGGCCUUUUGUUGCUUUAUUUCUGUACUGCCUUGUGUUGUCCUUCCUUGUGUGGAAAAUGUGUCUGUAACGAUGUCAGGAAAUGCAGCCAAGGUGUUCGGAUCUCUUUUGGUGUUCAUUUCUAUGUUUGUUGUCUUCGGAGUUGUUGCUCAUUCGGUGGAUUUUGUGUUGAAAAAAGUUUAGACUUAAAGGAUUUUAUUAUAGUAAUAAGUGAUUGAUUGCUUUUAUGCAGUGUUGGAGAAUCACCGGAUGCCGCUAAAUACCUUUCCCAGAAGUUUGGUGGUAGUUUAACAACUUUUUGAAAUGAAUUACCUUAUUGAGUUGACCACAUCUAUAGGUUUAUGCCCAGUUUAUUGUUGCUAUAAGUGUAGUAGAUUUUACUAUCAGUUGUAAAAUGAUAUGUUGUGAAGUUAGCUUUAAACUGCUAACUGGUUAUAUGGAAGGAAAGGACGAUGGGUUUAUUGUUGUAAAACUUUCCCCUGUAAAUUUACCAGCAUUAUACUGGUACCAGAGUUGCCAGCGUAAUACUGUAAUUUUGCUUUACAGCAGAGAUGCUGUAAUAUAUUUUACAGUACCUAUUUUCCUUACUGUAAAACAUAUUACAGCAUCCCUGCUUUAAAUUUACAGCUGUAAGGUUUUACAGCUGUAGUAUUCAAAGUUGAGGUUCGUGACCCCCACAACUGCAGUCGUGUUGCCAACAAUUUUAUUUUAAAUUGUUAAUAUUAUUAUUUAGUGUUAUUCUUUUUUUAUGAACAAAAAAAUAAAAUAUUAGACAAUAUAGAAACAUUUUUGAGAAAAGAUCAUCUGAAUUUUUAAUUUAAAAAAAAUGUAUUACACUACAUGUAUUUAUUGGUUUCUUUUCAGUUUGAUAACAGAUUAAAAUGUAAUGAAUUUAAUGUUAUUUGUUUAUGUAAAAAUAGAAAUGUAGCUAAUUUUAAGGUUGUGUCAUUAUAUUUGGAAAUUCUUGCGAAAAAAAUGGGGUCCCCGCUGAAAACGUUUAAAUACCACUGUUUUACAGUAAGGAAAAUAGUACUGUAAAAUAUAUUACAGCAUAUCUGCUGUAAAGCAAAAUUACAGUAUUAAGCUGGCAACUCUGGUGCCAUUACAAUGCUGAAUAUUUACAGUGAAAAACUACCUGAAAUCUAAAUACAAAGAAAUAUAUAUAUACAUUUGUACAUAAAAUACAUGAAUUCAAAUAGCUAACAACAUUAACUACAAACUAACAACAUAAUUGACAAUAGAAGUAACAGCAAUUAACACGUAUGUAACCAAAUAAGAGCAUCAUUACAACACUAAUUUAAAACUAUAUUGUGUGGGGAGGGGGGUGUGUGUGGGGGGCAAAAGAGAGAGAGAGGGAGAUUUAGAUUAAAUUGGGAUUGGGUACAAUCCUAGAUCUAUGAUCAGGGACUACUCUAUUCCGGGUUAUUGGGGUUCAGAGGCGGUCAAACACACAGCGGAAAGUCGGCAUCAUGUGUUCCUCAUGGGGCUCCGUAACAAACGUCCUCGGGUUCUGAUUGGUCAGCUCUUCUCAACCCUAGGACAAGCAUAGAAAAAUAAAGAAUAGAAUGAAAGACGGAGAGCACCAGGGCUGUUACUCUGGGGGUAAAUAGAGAGACAGAGAGCACCAGGGCUGUUACUCUGGGGGUAAAUAGAGAGACAGAGAGCACCAGGGCUGUUACUCUGGGGGGUAAAUAGAGAGACAGAGAGCACCAGGGCUGUUACUCUGGGGGGGGUAAAUAGAGAGACAGAGAGCACCAGGGCUGUUACUCUGGGGGGGGUAAAUAGAGAGACAGAGAGCACCAGGGCUGUUACUCUGGGGGGUAAAUAGAGAGACAGAGAGCACCAGGGCUGUUACUCUGGGGGUAAAUAGAGAGACAGAGAGCACCAGGGCUGUUACUCUGGGGGGGUAAAUAGAGAGACAGAGAGCACCAGGGCUGUUACUCUGGGGGGGUAAAUAGAGAGACAGAGAGCACCAGGGCUGUUACUCUGGGGGGGUAAAUAGAGAGACAGAGAGCACCAGGGCUGUUACUCUGGGGGGGUAAAUAGAGAGAGGACAAGGGACAUAUCAAGCUUGUGUUGUGUGUACGUACUUAACUACAAAUCUACAGGAGGCAUAAUCUAUUACUGUAAAGAAAUUAAUACAGAAUGUUUUGAGUCAUUCCUCCAGGAGGCUUCCAAUUACAGUUAAUAACAGUAUUUUUCAGCAUUUUACCCAUAAUGCAGUGCAAUCUAUAGCAUUAAUGCUGUAAACACACGUAUGGUAAUUUACUGUGCAUUCUACAGUGUUUUAAUGUUGAAAUGACAGUCUUACACUAUAUAGCUUUUCUCCAUUUGAAAAGACACUAACCUAUUUGUAUUGAAAUGUAAUAAAAAUAUAAUUCUGUUAAGACGUUUUUUUGUUUUUCCAUCACUAAUACCCUUUUUCCUUCACUACUUAAAUGAUAAUUGCUCUUGUGUUUGCAACAGAGAGAUCCU
rnacentral:lncRNA from 1 species